rnacentral:snRNA from 1 species
CAAAGUGUAGUAUCUGUUCUUAUCAGCUUAAUAUCUGAUACGUUCCCCAUUGGGGAACUUCGAUAUUAAACUGAUUUUUGGUACUAGAUGAGAUGUCAGGGGCUUGCUCCGCUCUCGUCACGGGUUGGC